CUGCUGCCUCCCGUAGGAGUCUGGGCCGUGUCUCAGUCCCAGUGUGGCCGGCCAACCUCUCAGUCCGGCUACUGAUCGUCGCCUUGGUGGGCCGUUGCCCCGCCAACUAGCUAAUCAGACGCGAGCUCAUCUCAGAGCGAUAAAUCUUUGGCGUCCAGAGAGAUGCCUCCCAGACGCAUCAUGCGGUAUUAGCGGCUGUUUCCAACCGUUAUUCCCCACUCCAAGGCAGAUUG
rnacentral:rRNA from 1 species